AUUGAACGCUGGCGGCAUGCCUUACACAUGCAAGUCGAGCGGCAGCGCGGGGGCAACCCUGGCGGCGAGCGGCGAACGGGUGAGUAAUGCAUCGGAACGUGUCCUUUUGUGGGGAUAACCAGUCGAAAGACUGGCUAAUACCGCAUGAGCUCGAGAGAGGAAAGCAGGGGACCGCAAGGCCUUGCGCGAGAGGAGCGGCCGAUGCCCGAUUAGCUAGNGGUGAGGUAACGGCUCACCAAGGCGACGAUCGGUAGCUGGUUUGAGAGAACGACCAGCCACACUGGGACUGAGACACGGCCCAGACUCCUACGGAGGCAGCAGUGGGGAAUUUUGGACAAUGGGCGCAAGCCUGAUCCAGCCAUGCCGCGUGCGGGAAGAAGGCC
rnacentral:rRNA from 1 species